rnacentral:rRNA from 1 species
UACAGAGGGUGCAAGCGUUGCUCGGAAUCAUUGGGCGUAAAGGGCAGGUAGGUGGUCUUAUUUGUCUGGGGUGAAAUCCCUGAGCUUAACUCAGGAAGUGCCUCAGAAACGGUAAGACUUGAGUGCUGGAGAGGGUCGUGGAAUUCCCGGUGUAGCGGUGAAAUGCGUAGAGAUCGGGAGGAACACCAGCGGCGAAGGCGGCGACCUGGACAGUGACUGACACUCAACUGCGAAAGCGUGGGGAGCGAACAGG